UACGAGGGGGGCAAGCGUUGUUCGGAAUUAUUGGGCGUAAAGGGCGCGUAGGCGGUGCGGUAAGUCACCUGUGAAAACUCUGGGCUCAACUCAGAGCCUGCAGGCGAAACUGCCGUGCUGGAGUGUGGGAGAGGUGCGUGGAAUUCCCGGUGUAGCGGUGAAAUGCGUAGAUGAUCGGGAGGAACACCUGUGGCGAAAGCGGCGCACUGGACCACAACUGACGCUGAGGCGCGAAAGCUAGGGGAGCAAACAGG
rnacentral:rRNA from 1 species